CAAGCCCGCUUGAGCUGCUAUACCGCUCUUGUUUUCAGAAGCGACCUGCCCACAACACAAGCUGUCGCUUCCUCUGCAGAAUAUGUCUGAUGGAGCAAAGGCACUCGGCGCGGCUCGGUGCAAAAAGGCAACAAUGUGACCGGCGUGCAAACAGCACGGAUCGUCCUGACCAUUUGACACGGCACCAGAGAACUCACACAG